GACCAAGGAGUCUAACAUGUGCGCGAGUCGUAGGGUUACGCUCAAAGCCCGAAGGCGCAAUGAAAGUGAAGGUCGGCCUCGAUUGCCGUUACCUAGGCGGGAUCCGUUCGGGCUUACCGGUCGUUCGCGGCUGAGCCCGGCGGCGCACCGCCGGCCCGUCUCGACCGCAUCGCCGGUGAGGCGGAGCGAGAGCGUACACGUUGGGACCCGAAAGAUGGUGAACUAUGCCCGGGCAGGACGAAGCCAGAGGAAACUCUGGUGGAGGUCCGUAGCGAUUCUGACGUGCAAAUCGAUCGUCGGACCUGGGUAUAGGGGCGAAAGACUAAUCUAACCAUCUAGUAGCUGGUUCCCUCCGAAGUUUCCCUCAGGAUAGCUGGUGCUCGAGGAGGGCAGUCUCAUCCGGUAAAGCCAAUGAUUAGAGGCCUUGGGGCCGAAACGACCUCAACCUAUUCUCAAACUUUCAAUGGGUGAGAAGUCCGGCUUGCUUGACUGAAGCCCGA
rnacentral:rRNA from 1 species